AACAUUGUUGCCGUGGUAACCAGUGUGUCGGAACGAAAACGAAACAAAACUAUCGCCGAAACGUUUUUUUUUAUUUGUUUCGGAGUGAAACUGCAAUAUUUGUGAUCGGUUUUCGCUUCAAGGUUAAAGCCGGCAAUCCGAAAUAACCGACGUCAGACAAAGUCAAAAUUAACGCGUACCUCGGGCCGGGAUAGCGGGAUAGUGCGAGCAUAGAGAAAGAAAUUCAACAAGAGGCUGAGGGGACACAUGGGGACACUCUUCAAAAACUGGCAACAGAAAACACGUCACGCCUAGUUUGAACUCCAUCCGUUAAUUGACGCGAGCAUCAGAAAAAAAGAAUGUGAAAUAAACUUCCAGACAACGUUUUAUUCUUUUUUUUAAUCUUUGCCACUAAAGGUGAAAAAGUUUUGCGUGUAAAUGAACUUAUACUUUGCAACUUAUCUUUGUUGCGUUGCCGAGCAACAAGCUAGCGGAACGCCAGACGCGCGUGCAUACGUCAUGCGCCAGACAAGCCGCAGUAGUGAGCGAGGCCGGCUGCGCAUGUGGAGUUCGCGUGCUCGGCGACCCGUCUCUUUUGGAUGUAGCCCGUUUUUUUGGGCUCCCGGCGUCCUCUUGUGAUCCGUCUGCAUUUCGACACGGCACCGCUGCACUACUGGACUACAGCAAGCUGAUGGCAUCCGGUGGAGCUUCGUACGGCAACGACUGCUGCUUGCCAGGUGCGCCAACUUUGGAUGAAUGUAGAAGCCCGGAACGAGUAUUUAUAUAGAGCAAAAUAAACAUUUCAUCAUUUCAGAA